rnacentral:rRNA from 1 species
UACGUAGGGUGCGAGCGUUAAUCGGAAUUACUGGGCGUAAAGCGUGCGUAGGCGGUCCGCGAAGUCUGAUGUGAAAGCCCCGGGCUCAACCUGGGAACUGCAUUGGAAACUAACGGGCUCGAGUGUGGCAGAGGGGGGUGGAAUUCCACGUGUGGCAGUGAAAUGCGUAGAGAUGUGGAGGAACACCGAUGGCGAAGGCAGCCCCCUGGGCUAACACUGACGCUCAGGCACGAAAGCGUGGGGAGCAAACAGG